UACGUAGGGCGCAAGCGUUUGUCCGGAAUUAUUGGGCGUAAAGAGCUCGUAGGCGGUCUGUCGCGUCGGCUGUGAAAACCCGGGGCUCAACCCCGGGCCUGCAGUCGAUACGGGCAGACUAGAGUGCGGUAGGGGAGACUGGAAUUCCUGGUGUAGCGGUGAAAUGCGUAGAGAUCCGGAAGAACACCGGUGGCGAAGGCGGCCUGCUGGGCAGUUGCUGACACUGAGGCGCGACAGCGUGGGGAGCAACAGG
rnacentral:rRNA from 1 species